GCUGUUGUUGUGAGACAGGUUAGUGUGGAAAGGAUUUUUCAUCUUACCAUCAUUUGUGAUUGAUUUGACAUUUGUUGUUGCCUUGUAUUAUGCCACAAUGAAGAGAAACACAUUCUGAAUAACUGGGAGGUUUACCUUACGAACUGGGUGUUUUCCUUUUAGAAAUCCACUGUCCAACCGCUGUUGCCCGGGUUACUUACAGAUGUAAUAGACAAGGCACAUGAACGAAUAUCACGCCUUCUCCUCAUUGUAGAAGUUAUCAUCUUGGGGAUUGCGUCUGUUGUGAUGCUGCGUGGUGGCUUCAUGGUGAAAUUUGGCAGGGAGAAUGUCACGUCCUCACGUGAGUAUCAAAGUUAUUUGUUCACUUUGUUUGUUAGUUUUUUCAACUGAGUGUCACCGAACUACAGCGAACAUUGUUUUCAUAUUUGUUACGUUUUAACGUUUCUUCUUUCUGACGCUAGACUGAAUUAGUUAGUAACACCCUAAAAAAUGAUCAAUUUAUUCGGUCGUAAGCUCAAUGCCUCAAUGGUUGAGGCGCUAUCGCUUACUUCCGGUAUACUUCCGGAAAAUUUGCAUAAAACUAGCAAGUGGGCUUUGUUCUCUGCACAAUUCUAAAGACUCCUUGCCAGUUUAAGCAAACUGAAAUUGUCAUUUUUGAUUACUUUUGUGACUAUCUAAGGCCGUCCUUUAUUAGAUAGUGAGUUUUAGACGUGUCGAAUAGAUGGCGUGAAAGAAUAUUAUGUUGUCAGAUAUGGGCUUAUUACGGCAGCUCGUUGUCUAAAGUUCAGCUACCCAGCAACAGCGGGUUCUGUUCUGUUCUUUUCUUCGAAAAUUACAAAUGAAUUCAAAAUGUGAAAGGAGCGAGAUGCAGCCUACUGUCAACUAUUGUGUUAAAAAUCCUGGUAUCAUCCUACUGAAUAUGUCAUCCAAAUGACAGAGGUGGAUUCAUCAGAAAUAUUGGCUGAUUCUAUUGGACUUGCUAGAUCGUUUUAUCCCUAGAAUGGACCAAUCUUUCAUUCAAUCUUCUAGAGAACCUUGGAUAACUGAUUGGUGGUUUUGUGUGUUUUAAACUAUAGGUAUUUAAAUUUGCACGACGUCCUUCAACGUUCUUGGACUGACGUCAGUCAGCAAGGUAGGCUACCUUGUUUGAUAACCUGUUGGCUGCUUCCCUUGAAUCUCCCUUUUUACUUCUUUAAGCUUGAUUUGAGGGUACUCCUUCACUACUUAUCAUCAACUUCAUCCAUUGGUGAUGCUGUAAUUCAAGACUGAUAAAUUAGUUAGUCAGAUAAAACAAGUGCAUAUCUGGGCUCCCUUCUUUUCUGUGGCCCUGUUUCCCUAACUAACCACUAACCA
rnacentral:lncRNA from 1 species